UUUUGCUAAAGUUUUUUUCUUCGGUUAUCUGAGAAAGAUACUGUUCGUAUAUUUUUUUCCGAUGCAUGUUAAUCGGUUAAUCGCGACUUUUCUGACUGUUUGCGGCUCCGAUCCUGUAUCAGUAGAUAUUUUGGGUGAUUUUCCGACAUCUCUGACUUUGUUCCGACGAGUUCUUCAAAUUCUAGGGUUUUCCUACUUUCGGACCUAGAGUUUUGGUGUUAUCCGAUGACUUCUUUCUUCGCUUGAUGGACGUUUUGGGUAACUUUCCGGCGUCUGUGACCUUAUUCCGGUGAGUUUCAGAACCUAGGGUUUCCUGUGUUGGACCUA
rnacentral:lncRNA from 1 species